UUUGGUGGCGAUAGCGAAGAGGUCACACCCGUUCCCAUGCCGAACACGGAAGUUAAGCUCUUCAGCGCCGAUGGUAGUUGGGGGCUUCCCCCUGUGAGAGUAGGACGCCGCCCAGC
rnacentral:rRNA from 1 species